GAAUGGAAGAGCCUGAAACUAAGGAUGGAAGUGAGGAGUAUGUCCUGAAGCUCUACUGGGAGAUGGCUGGAAGCACAAAGAAGGGAAAAACAACCGUCCCUGCAGGGGAGAUGAACCUACUCACGGUCUUCUGUAAGAAAGGACGGAGAAAAAAGGCACUUCAAGAUCUUGUACAAUCAAGGAUCAGCCACAGGGAAACACAUUUUUCAGCCUCCAAAGUAUUUCACCAGACUUGAUGAUCUAUUCAUUUUGAUACAUUCCCCUGUAUGACCUCAAGGUGGGAUGGGUUUUGUUGGAUGUGCCCAGGAGACUCAUCUGUCAUAUAAAGUUAGAGAAGAAUGGAGUAUCUCUACUAUAGCUGGCACUGCACAGAUGAAAUACUGCUUACCCAUUCCUGCAGUCAUUUUUAUAGCUACACAUCUGGGGUGAAGCUGUGAUUGUGUUUUGUUACCUCUUUUGAGUGUCACCAGCAGAUAGCUAGUAUAGUACUGGGGGAAUCAAAGAUGUCUAAGGUACCUUGGUGAAGUUUUUACUCUCCCUUUACUGUUACAGUGCGACUGUGGAAAAGAGUAUGGAUUUAUAGUUUACUUUUCCACACUCUGGACUUUUUGAUUUUCCUUUUUUAGGACUAGACUAGAUUUUUUUUAUUUGGAUGAGACUUAAAAUGAACAUCUAGUCCAACUGCCUGACCCCUUCAGCACUGUCAAGAUGUUAAAGGAUAUAUUAAGAGCAUUGUCUGAAGUUUUUUAACUCAUUAUUUUUUUAUUUACCUACAGACCAACUCUGCAUGUUGCUUCUAAUGGCACUGAAACUUCACUGCAUGUAUUGAAGCUAUACAGUUCUCUUUCUAGGUGUCUAUGGGCUUGCUUAUAAGCUAGGUGCCUCUAAUUCCAGAAACAUGACUAGCAUGUCAAAAUGGAAAGAUCCUUGACCAGAAAAAAAUUAAAACUCACGAGUGGUGGCAGAGUUCUCAGGCUGAAGUAUGCCAUGGUCAGAACACAUAGUUACCAAUCUAAGAGUCUAACAAAUAGUUCUACAUAGGACCAAAGCUUUAUGGUAACAUGCAUGGAGAAGGAUGAAAAUAAAACAUUCCACAUUAGUGCUUAUUUAUUGCUGCCUGCAUUACAGUUGUGACAGCCUAACAUUUUACAGUUCACUUCUGUUAAGAGCUGAUAAAUGGUUUAAUUUUUGGCCUGAUUCUUUGUCUAGAGAAAUCCACUCAUAUCAACAAGAAUAAGAUCAGUGUUCCCUGAGCACAGCUGCAGCAAGGCAGCUGGCUGCUAUCAGUAUGUAUUAAACUCACCUCUCAAGGUUCUCCUCCAGCCUCUACACCGACUCAUUU